rnacentral:rRNA from 1 species
UACGGGGGGGGUAAGCGUUGUUCGGAAUUACUGGGCGUAAAGGGCUCGUAGGCGGCCAACUAAGUCAUACGUGAAAUCCCUCAGCUUAACUGGGGAACUGCGUGUGAUACUGGAUGGCUUGGAUUUGGGAGAGGGAUGCGGAAUUCCAGGUGUAGCGGUGAAAUGCGUAGAUAUCUGGAGGAACACCGGUGGCGAAGGCAGCCUUCUGGGCCAACACUGACGCUCAUGCACGAAAGCGUGGGGAGCAAACGGG